UCAGUAUCCAGCUGAGUUACCUUGUCUGUAGAGUCUUGCAGUUGCUGGUUCAGAUGUAUCUUUUCUUCUUCAAGAGUGGCUAUUGUUGACGUAAGCUCGGUUAUCUUAACAGAAAACUGUGCGACUUCUUCUUCCAGUUUCGCGACCAGUGAUUUUGAUUCUUCUAAAUCGGCCUUUAGUGAUUUCAACUCGUGUUCAUAUUCUGCCUGAGAUUUCUGAGAUUCAAACAAAAGGGUGUCGUAAUCACUUGACAGCUGGCUGAAACGAUCCUCCUUUUGUGCGAAUUCGCUUUUUGAUUCAACCAAAAUUGCGUCAAGAGCUUCCUUUUCCUUUCUUGCUUCGGCUAGUUCUUCUUGAAUCUCGUGAAGCUUCAGUUUGACUUCUUCCAGUUCGGAUUCUUUCGCUUGAAGAUCUUCUAUCUUCUUUGGUUGAUGAUUCAGAAGCCUUUUUCAGAUUCAGUUCUUCGGUCAGUUCACUUAUUUUAGCCUCUUGUGAAUCGUAUUUUUGAUGGAUUUCCGAAACCUGUGAUUUUGAAGCAUCUAAUUCUUCUUGGACUACAGAUAAGUCAACGAUGGUCUUCUUGAGUGCUUCUUCAACCUUUUCAUUCUCUUUUUUGAGGCUUUCGGUCUCACUUUCUAAAUUUGUUCGUAUCUGCCAAAGCUGAUCUAACUCGUCUUUUAGCGAAACAGCUUUUUCAGUUGCUUCAGCUAACUGGGUCUCGAGAGUCGUUGAUUUCUCAAGCAACGAUUUGGCCUCCUCGUCUCUGCUAGUGAAGUUUGCAACUGAUUCUUGUAAUUUCAGAUCAAAAUCUCUAGUGCGGGUUUCGUGUAGCGUUUUUGCCCUUGCUUCAUCUAGUUGUUCCUCAGCUAACUUAAGCUUGUUCAUGACUUCUGUUUCUCUGAUUCUGGAAGCUUCCAGAUCACUAACGACAGUUUCCAGUUGCUGCUGAGAGAAUUUGAGUUCGUUUCUUAAUACUUCUAGAAGGUUUUCUGCUUCCACAAGUUGCUCGGAUGAUUUCUUUGAGACGUCUUCUAACUGUUUUUUCUCGGUCCUUGCUAAAUCCAAAGAUUCCGUCAACUCUUGCUCCUUUUUAGUGGCGGUUUCCGGUGCACCCUCGAGAACCGUUGCUUGUGAUCUCAAAGCUUCUAUUACUGCUUCGAGUUCGGUAGCUUUUUGAGAAUGGUUUCUAGAACUUUCUUCCAUGUCGCCACAUUUCUUCUCCAGUGUGCUUAUUUGCUCUUCAAGCUCCUUGAUUCUUUCCUUUUCUGCUUCUAGAAGCAACUCCAAAUCACUUGCCUUUUUAUCUGCAUUCUCGGCUUUUGAAUUCAAAUUCUGAAUUAUAUCUUCGAGCUCAAUACUACGUUGGUGGCUCGUGUUGGCUCUUUCUUCAGGAUCAGUUGGCUUUUCAAGUACAGUUCUAAGCUCCAAUUCAAGCUUUGAGUUGCGUGAGGAUGAUUGAGUCAACUCAGUUUCCAGCUGAGUUACUUUAUCUAUGGAGUCUUGCAUUAGCUGACUUAGAUGUUUCUUUUCUUCUUCAAGAGUCGCUAUUGUUGAGGUAAGUUGCGCAAGCUCUUUUUCCAUUUUCUCCCCAACUGAUUUUGAUUCGGUCAACUCUUGCUCCUUUUUAGUGGCAGUUUCUAGUGCAACCUCCAAUGACAGUGUCAAUUCUUGCUCCUUUUUAGUGGCGGUUUCAAGUGCACCCUCGAGAACCGUUGCUCUUGAUCUCAAUGCUUCAAUUUCUGCUUCGAGUUCAGAUACUUUUUGUGAAUAGUUUCUAGAAUCUUCUUCUGUGUCACUACAUUUCUUCUCCAGUGUCGUUAUUUGUUCUUCAAGCUCUUGAAUUCUUUUCUUUUCCGCUUCUAGAAGCAACUCUAUUUCACUUGCCUUUUUACCUGCAUUCUCGGCUUUCGAAUUCAAAUUCUGAAUUAUAUCUUCGAGCUCAAUACUACGUUGGUGGCUCGUGUAGGCUCUUUCUUCAGGAUCAGUUGGCUUUUCAAGUACAGUUUUAAGCUCCAAUUCAAGCUUUGAGUUGCGUGAGGAUGAUUGAGUCAACUCAGUUUCCAGCUGAGUUACUUUAUCUAUGGAGUCUUGCAUUUGCUGACUUAGAUGUUUCUUUUCUUCUUCAAGAGUCGCUAUUGUUGAGUUUCUAGUGCACCCUCCAAUGACAGUGUCAAUUCUUGCUCCUUUUUAGUGGCGGUUUCAAGUGCACCCUCGAGAACCGUUGCU
rnacentral:lncRNA from 1 species